UGCCCCAUAGUCUGGGAUACCACCUUGGAAACAGGUGCUAAUACCGGAUAAGAAAGCGGAUCGCAUGAUCAGCUUUUAAAAGGCGGCGUAAGCUGUCGCUAUGGGAUGGCCCCGCGGUGCAUUAGCUAGUUGGUAAGGUAAAGGCUUACCAAGGCGAUGAUGCAUAGCCGAGUUGAGAGACUGAUCGGCCACAUUGGGACUGAGACACGGCCCAAACUCCUACGGGAGGCAGCAGA
rnacentral:rRNA from 1 species